GGCUCCGACAGUCUCGGUCGCUGUGUCUUUGGGCAAGACACUUCACCCGUUGCCUGCUGGUUGUAACCCAGGUCCUAAAAUCAUCUCAAACAAAAAAAGAAGAAAAAGUAAAAAAUGUUAUGUUCAUUGUUUCUGUUCUUACUGUCCUUGUUUAAUGAAAGUGAAACGAGAUCAGUAUAUUUAUUUAAACAAAAAAGGGACACAGAUUUAUAUAUUUGUUUUGGUUGAACAAGGGUUAAGUUUCUCCGGGGGUUGAUGAGCUCUGAUGAGAGCCUGUUUUACUCCAGUCCUCGCGUGUCAGCCAAUCGGUGAAGCUCUAGGCAGCUCGUCCCUCCUUAGUACCAGCUCCCAAGUUUUCAGUCUCUUGCUUCUACAGCCGAACAGAGCACACGGGCUAAAACUUUGUUAUCAAGGGCAGAGCGAAAACGGAGUUUACCAAGCUGUGGCGUCAUAUAAACGCUGAGCAUCCACUCGACAGCGGUCAGGUUUUUAUAUGGGACGAAUCCAAAGACCAGGUCAGCGUUUCCAGAUCCCAGUGUAUUCCAGUGUUCACUGGACGGUGAGCCAACCCAAGAUCCUAGGGCCUGAUAUACAUACACACGCACAUUCAUUUGCACAUUGAUGGACUACAAUCCUCUACUGUACAAGUAGUACGGUAGGACAGACAAUUACACACACACACUCCUCAUUGGAAGGACUCUAUUGCAAUACACCCAUUUGUCAUGGGCCCCACCGGUACCAUUUGGACUUAAAAAAGACUAAUUGUUUAGUUGUGCACAAUUUUAUUUUAUUCUAUUUUUUUGCUACUUUGGGGGAAAUUUUUAUACUUGAAGUUCUGUUAAAACCUCUUGUAAUACUGUGUUGUUUACAAAAUUCUUUUAAAAGGCUUAACAUCACUAAAGUAGUUUAUGGUAUUAUAUGAAUUAGACAUUAGACAGAGGUAGGUGACGUGCAGCCUGCAUGGUGAUAAAAUAAUAAAGAUUAUGAACUGGUCCAACACCUCUCAGAUACUGUGGAGGAAAAGACUCUUAGAUUUCCUGCCUCAGAUGUGGUCAGGUACCUGAGAUUACUGGUACCAGUGACUUUAACAGUGCAUUGGUCGAACCUCAGGUAACCGUGUGGUUAAGAUGAUUUCUGAAUAUUGAUCUUGAAUUAACAAAGAUUUUGAAACAUUGUUAUUAUUGAAGUUCUAAGAGGUGUGUCUGAAGAACAUGUAGCUUUGGGAGACACAUUUGUCUUUUCUCUCAUAAAAACCCAACACAAUGCUCAGAUAGAAACGGGACAUUGUUUGAUGGCCGUCAGUCACCUAAUCUUAACCAAGAUCAUG